GACGAACGCUGGCGGCGUGCCUAAUACAUGCAAGUUGAGCGCUGAAGGUUGGUACUUGUACCGACUGGAUGAGCAGCGAACGGGUGAGUAACGCGUGGGGAAUCUGCCUUUGAGCGGGGGACAACAUUUGGAAACGAAUGCUAAUACCGCAUAAAAACUUUAAACACAAGUUUUAAGUUUGAAAGAUGCAAUUGCAUCACUCAAAGAUGAUCCCGCGUUGUAUUAGCUAGUUGGUGAGGUAAAGGCUCACCAAGGCGAUGAUACAUAGCCGACCUGAGAGGGGUAUCGGCCACAUUGGGACUGAGACACGGCCCCAACUCCUACGGGAGGCAGCAGUAGGGAAUCUUCGGCAAUGGACGAAAGUCUGACCGAGCCACGCCGCGUGAGUGAAGAAGGUUUUCGGAUCGUAAAACUCUGUCGGUAGAGAAGAACGUUGGUGAGAGUGGAAAGCGCAUCAAGUGACGGUAACUACCCAGAAAGGGACGGCUAACUACGUG
rnacentral:rRNA from 1 species